GAUGAACGUUAGCGACAGGCCUAACACAUGCAAGUCGAGGGGCAGCACAUGAGUAGCAAUACGAUGGUGGCGACCGGCGCACGGGUGAGUAACACGUAUGCAACCUGCCUGUAAGAGGGGGAUAACCCGGAGAAAUUCGGACUAAUACCGCAUAAUACCACGAGACUGCAUGGUUUUGUGGUUAAACAUUUAUGGCUUACAGAUGGGCAUGCGUAUGAUUAGAUAGUUGGUAGGGUAACGGCCUACCAAGUCUACGAUCAUUAGGGGUUCUGAGAGGAAGGUCCCCCACACUGGUACUGAGACACGGACCAGACUCCUACGGGAGCAGCAGUGAGGAAUAUUGGUCAAUGGGCAGAGCCUGAACCAGCCAAGUCGCGUGAAGGAAGAAGGUUCUAUGGAUUGUAAACUUCUUUUGCAGGGGAAUAAAGGACGGUACGUGUACUGUUUUGUAUGUACCUUGCGAAUAAGGAUCGGCUAACUCCGUGCCAGUCAGCCGGGUAAACACG
rnacentral:rRNA from 1 species